AUUGAACGCUGGCGGAAUGCUUUACACAUGCAAGUCGAACGGCAGCACGGACUUCGGUCUGGUGGCGAGUGGCGAACGGGUGAGUAACAUAUCGGAACGUAUCCAAUAAUGGGGGAUAACUGAUCGAAAGGUUGGCUAAUACCGCAUACGCCCUACGGGGAAAGGCAGGGGAUCUUCGGACCUUGCGUUAAUGGAGCGGCUGAUAUCUGAUUAGCUUGUUGGUGAGGUAAAGGCUCACCAAGGCGACGAUCUGUAGCUGGUCUGAGAGGACGACCAGCCACACUGGGACUGAGACAUGAUCAAACUCGUGAUGCCU
rnacentral:rRNA from 1 species